AUCCUAUCAAAGCUACAAUACUGCAGCUUAUGACAAAAUUUGGCCUAACAUAGUAGGAAAAACUCUUUGUCAAACAGAUCCCUCAAAAAGACUAACUGUAAUCACAAACUAUUUUCUUAACCAUCUGCAUGUUUGUCUCCCUAUGCAUGUUUGCAGAAACAGAACCUCGACCGAGCCUUUCCAAGGCCCACUGAAGUCCAUGAGAGACUUCUCAUAGACUGUGGCAGGAGAGGAAAAAUCUUCAUGGAGAACCUCCCACACAACUCUGGACAAGACAGAUCUUGGUGCCUUAGAUCCUUAUUUGUAGACCAGGAAUUAUCAUGUUAUUUCUUCCCUCUACCUCUUUUCUCUAUAUAUACUGUCAGGAAGGGAAAGAAAUACAUGUUUUGCACUUCAGUGGUCAUAAUCUUGCAUGGGGAACACUACACCUGUGACUGAUGAAGCUAAAUAAUCAGAACAAUAAAAAAGAUUUUGAGA